rnacentral:miRNA from 1 species
CAGUGCAGGGUUACCUGGGUCACUGCAGCGGCGCUGGGGGUCUGCAGGGCUACAGCUGUGGUUCUUGGGAGCCU